rnacentral:lncRNA from 1 species
CCAGAAUCAGACGACUGCGCCAAUGCCUACUCCCUACCACAGGAUUCGUAGUCAUAUAAUUGCAUGUUUCCUUGUAGGGUGCCCCAAUGUAAAACCUGUGAGUUUGAUUCUGCUAGUGCAUCUCAUGCAGCGAAUGUGGCAUGCUUUAGAGCAGGGAAACAGGAAGAUUUUUGAGCACAAGGUUUGGUAAGCAUCAUCAUGGAGUCAUGGCAACAUGUUGCCAGACAUUUUAAUAGUGGCAAUCACAGUGUUUCAGAUAUGAAGAUGUGAGCCCUCUGUCCCAUUUCCGAAAGCAAUGAUACCCGCAAAAGACAUGAAAUGUGCCUCAUUUCCAAACUUGACACUGUCCACCCCUAUGGUAAUAAUGAACAUUUUUCCUAUAUUUAACUCUUUCUGUCUUAAUUUGCCUUUCAAAAACAGACAUUGACAGUACUUUAAAUUCUCGUCCUAUUUCAUGCUUAUUUGAUAUAGUAUUUGUGUGUGUUGUAGCUAGUCUUCUGUAUAUUUGUAUUAAUAUUUUCUGUAAUGUGAGUUUUUGUUUACACUUUGUUUUGACUAAAUCCAUCUCAUGAUUGGUUAAUUUUUUGUCAUGUCACUGUACAUGUCCCCUAGCUGCUACUAACGUCCAAAGGAAAGGCCUUCACUCUAAACAUCCAAGUUCUAGCUGCUUGUAUUCUUCAGGUAGUAAUGUAUCCCUAUCAAUUUGCAGCUGUUUUAUUAUCUUCCCUAACUACAAUGGCCACCAGAUCUCGCACCAGACAAUAUCUUUGUUCACUUAAUAAUGACAAUCUCACACUUAAAGGGGUUGUUCAUAUGAGCCAGGCCAGCCCAGCUAUAGCGGAAUGAAUCGUGUCAUGAAAUGUUUUUCCUGACCAUAAAAGAUAUGCUUUGAAUGAA